CCUACGGGAGGCAGCAGUGGGGAAUAUUGGACAAUGGGGGCAACCCUGAUCCAGCCAUGCCGCGUGUGUGAAGAAGGCCCCCGGGUUGUAAAGCACUUUCAGUGAGGAAGAACGCCUGGUGGUUAAUACCCAUCAGGAAAGACAUCACUCACAGAAGAAGCACCGGCUAACUCCGUGCCAGCAGCCGCGGUAAUACGGAGGGUGCGAGCGUUAAUCGGAAUUACUGGGCGUAAAGCGCGCGUAGGUGGCUUGAUAAGCCGGUUGUGAAAGCCCCGGGCUCAACCUGGGAACGGCAUCCGGAACUGUCAAGCUAGAGUGCAGGAGAGGAAGGUAGAAUUCCCGGUGUAGCGGUGAAAUGCGUAGAGAUCGGGAGGAAUACCAGUGGCGAAGGCGGCCUUCUGGACUGACACUGACACUGAGGUGCGAAAGCGUGGGUAGCAAACAGGAUUAGAUACCCUAGUAGUC
rnacentral:rRNA from 1 species